rnacentral:rRNA from 1 species
AACGAACGCUGGCGGCAUGCCUAACACAUGCAAGUCGAACGAGACCUUCGGGUCUAGUGGCGCACGGGUGCGUAACGCGUGGGAACCUGCCCUUAGGUUCGGAAUAACUCCCCGAAAGGGGUGCUAAUACCGGAUAAUUUCUUCGGACCAAAGAUUUAUCGCCUUUGGAUGGGCCCGCGUUGGAUUAGCUAGUUGGUAGGGUAAAAGCCUACCAAGGCGACGAUCCAUAGCUGGUCUGAGAGGAUGAUCAGCUACACUGGGACUGAGACACGGCCCAGACUCCUACGGGAAGCAGCAGUGGGGAAUAUUGGACAAUGGGCGAAAGCCUGAUCCAGCAAUGCCGCGUGAGUGAUGAAGGCCUUAGGGUUGUAAAGCUCUUUUACCCGGGAUGAUAAUGACAGUACCGGGAGAAUAAGCUCCGGCUAACUCCGUG